GAUGAACGUGGCGGCGUGGAUUAGGCAUGCAAGUCGAACGGGCCCNGUCUUCGGACCGGGCCAGUGGCGCAAGGGUGAGUAAGGCGACGGUAACCAACCCCACGGUUGGGUAUAGCCGCGGGAAACUGCGGGUAAUCCCCAGCGAUGUAAGAUGUCAUCGGCGUCUUAUCAAAGNUUCGGCGCCGUGGGACGGGCCGUUGUGGUAUUAGGUCGUUGGCGGGGUAACGGCCCACCAAGCCGAUGAUGCCUACCGGGCGUGCGAGCGUGGCCCGGCACACUGGGACUGAGACACUGCCCAGACUCCUACGGGAGGCUNCAGUCGAGAAUCUUCGGCAAUGGGCGCAAGCCUGACCGAGCGACGCCGCGUGGAGGAUGAAGGCCUUCGGGUUGUAAACUCCUGUCGAGGGGGAGGAAGGGGCAACCUUGACCGAUCCCUGGAGGAAGCACGGGCUAAGUUCGUGCCAGCAGCCGCGGUAAGACGAACCGUGCGAACGUUAUUCGGAAUCACUGGGCUUAAAGCGCGUGUAGGCGGAUGGGAACGUCGGUGACUGAAAGCCCCCGGCUCAACCGGGGAAGUGGUGCCGAAACGACCCGUCUGGAGGGACGUAGGGGGACCUGGAACUUCCGGUGGAGCGGUGAAAUGCGUUGAGAUCGGAAGGAACGCCCGUGGCGAAAGCGAGGUCCUGGACGUCUUCUGACGCUGAGACGCGAAAGCUAGGGGAGCGAACGGGAUUAGAUACCCCGGUAGUCCUAGCCGUAAACGAUGGGCACUGGGUAGGGGGCUCGCCGAUGGGCUCCCUGCCGUAGCGAAAGCGUGAAGUGCCCCGCCUGGGGAGUAUGGUCGCAAGGCUGAA
rnacentral:rRNA from 1 species